ACCUACGGGGGGCAGCAGUCGAGAAUCAUUCACAAUGGGGGAAACCCUGAUGGUGCGACGCCGCGUGGGGGAAUGAAGGUCUUCGGAUUGUAAACCCCUGUCAUGUGGGAGCAAAUUAAAAAGAUAGUACCACAAGAGGAAGAGACGGCUAACUCUGUGCCAGCAGCCGCGGUAAUACAGAGGUCUCAAGCGUUGUUCGGAAUCACUGGGCGUAAAGCGUGCGUAGGCUGUUUCGUAAGUCGUGUGUGAAAGGCGCGGGCUCAACCCGCGGACGGCACAUGACACUGCGAGACUAGAGUAAUGGG
rnacentral:rRNA from 1 species